UACGAAGGGGGCUAGCGUUGCUCGGAAUCACUGGGCGUAAAGGGUGCGUAGGCGGGUCUUUUAAGUCAGGAGGAGAAUCGUGGAGCUCAACUCCAGAACUGCCUUUGAUACUGAAGAUCUUGAGUUCGGGAGAGGUGAGUGGAACUGCGAGUGUAGAGGUGAAAUUGUAGAUAUUCGCAAGAACACCAGUGGCGAAGGCGACUCACUGGCCCGAUACUGACGCUG
rnacentral:rRNA from 1 species